AUACGGAAUAAGACACAGCGACAAGAAAUGAAGAAACUGAGAAACACGAGUUUAAACUUAUUACUAGCAAUAAUAAAAUUUAACGAGAACGACUGGCGGCAUAGAACUUCUCUCUACAGCAGUACCCCAUUUCCCGCGCUUUUGGUUUCAGCUAAAUACUUACAGCAUAGCAGCAAAGGAACUAUGAAACUAAGAUAGGGUAAAGAGAACGCAGUCCCCCACUAUCAGCAAUCACAAACUCCAUGUGACCCACUAUGGGAUAGUGGCAGAGGUCAAACUACCCAAAGUACAACGAAUGAGCCCCUCCCCAGAGAAGCUGCCAUGUUCACCAUGGCAUCCCGAGUGUUAGAUUCAUACCCUUCAUUCUGGAUCCUGUCCUUGAGCUGGAGAUAUUGUCUUUUCCUGUCAAAAUGCUUUA